rnacentral:rRNA from 1 species
GUCCCAGUUCAGAUCGCAGUCUGCAACUCGACUGCGUGAAGUCGGAAUCGCUAGUAAUCGCGGAUCAGCAUGCCGCGGUGAAUACGUUCCCGGGCCUUGUACACACCGCCCGUCACACCAUGAGAGUCGGGAACACCCGAAGUCCGUAGCCUAACCGCAAGGGGGCGCGGCCGAAGGUGGGUUCGAUAAUUGGGGUGAAGUCGUAACAAGGUAGC